UCUGGUGGCCAUAACCAGUGUGAACCACCCGAUACCAUCUCGAACUCGGAAGUGAAGACACUGAGUGCUAAUGAUAGUGUGGGGUUUCCCCAUGUGAAAGUAAGUUACUGCCAGAA
rnacentral:rRNA from 1 species